AUUGAACGCUGGCGGCAGGCCUAACACAUGCAAGUCGAACGAGUGGCGGACGGGUGAGUAAUGUCUGGGAAACUGCCCGAUGGAGGGGGAUACUACUGGAAACGGUAGCUAAUACCGCAUACCAUCGGAUGUUCCCAGAUGGGAUUAGCUUGUAGGUGAGGUAACGGCUCACCUAGGCGACGAUCCCUAGCUGGUCUGAGAGGGUGACCAGCCACACUGGAACUGAGCCACGGUCCAGACUCCUACGGGAGGCAGCAGUGGGGAAUAGUGCACAAUGGGCGCAAGCCUGAUGCAGCCAUGCCGCGUGUAUGAAGAAGGUCUUCGGUUUGUAAAGUACUUGCAGCGGGGAAGCGUUACCCACCGAGGAAGCCACGGCUAACUCCGUGCCAGCAGCCGCGGUAAUUC
rnacentral:rRNA from 1 species